rnacentral:lncRNA from 1 species
AAAAAAAAAAAAAAAAAAAAAAACGAACUAACAAUGUAUUCCAGUUACAUUAAUUGAUAAUCUAGAACACAAUGCCGGUUAGAUAGCCACAAACACAACCAUAACCACAAUUAAGACCUAGUAGCAAUCAAUAGCAACACAACCACAACACAAUUAAAACCAUGUUAACAAUUAUCAUCAAGGCAGAUAACGGUGACACAUUCAUUUCAGUCAUAUGAAACUCGAAAUCACAAACAUCAAGCAAACACAAAAUAGAGAAAUCACAAACAACAAACAAUAAUAAGAUUGACUAAAUAUAAUGAUUACAUUAGGGUAUUUGAUUUCCUUACCCAGGCUUAAGAGAACUUUUAGCCAAUCUAAUAGAUCAGACAAUAUGCUAGCCAACACCUAGCAGCAUUGGAUUAAAUUGAUUGCGGCCGCUCUUUAGAGAUUGUCUACUUCAUCUUUCAAGUAUCAAAUCAACAUCCCUGCACAAAGUAUAACAUUAGCAUUGAAUAGUAUCAUAAAAAAUGAGAGGCAAAAUAUAUCAACAACCUAAAUAUAUGGACUCACCAUUUCAAAUCUCCAUCCAGAUAUUCUUUUAUUACUCAUUGCAACUGCUACACUAGCUUCCGAGGCUUUAUCCAUUAUCGGGGAGAAAAAGAAUGAAAUCAACCUUGUGCUUGUGGAGGCUCAGUUGACAGACAUGAAAAUAUAUGAGCUCGUAGAGAAAAUGAAAAGCUCUAAUAUUCCAUCUUUCAUUAUGACUGCUUAUGAUGAUGAAAUUUCUUCAAUAUCACAAGCACUACAUACAGGAGCUAAAUGCUAAAUGGUGUUUUAGAAAACCGGUUCAGAUUUCUGAUCUACAACAGCUGUGGCGAUUCACAGUGUGGAACCGAUUUGAACCAUCAAUCAGCAAAGAAGUAUUUGACUGCUGGUAUAGCCUCCGUCAGAGGUGAUUGUGGAAAAAUAAGAUCUCAAAUUUCAACCAUUCAUUCAUCAAUACAAAAGAACAAUCUCUUCAACAAGGAGAAAGGUCUAUCCAGAGUGUAAAUUACGCUGGAUGUUGCAGGAUGAAUAAGAUCUGAGAGGAACAAAAAUGAUGCAGAAGAAAGAACAAAAUUGCGUCAGAUUUGACUAAAAAUGGUGUACAGGAACGAAAAUCAGAACAAAAACAUGUACUGUAAAACAGGACAUAGCAACUAAAUUCUGUUUUGUCAGAAAAAGUGCUCUGCUAGAAUUUCUGUGGCAUGUUUGUGAAAGGUGCCAACGGAGGCACAAAUGCCAACGGAGGCACUAGCCUGUUAUUAGGGUUUAGUGAAGGAGUCAUAUAUAUAAUUGAAUUUGGGUGUACUUUUCCAAUGAGAGAAGACUACAUACACAAAAGCCCGAUAAAUGGUCCGUGAAAUGGAGUUCAAAUUUGCACCCCCUAAGCAAUGCAACAAUU